AACGAACGCUGGCGGCGGGCCUAACACAUGCAAGUCGAGCGCUCUCUUCGGAGGGAGCGGCGGACGGGUUAGUAACGCGUGGGAAUGUACCCUUCUCUAAGGAAUAGCCAUUGGAAACGAUGAGUAAUACCUUAUACGACCCCCCGGGUCAAACUCGGGGGGGAAAGAGUUUAUCGGAGAGGGAUCAGCCCGCGUAAGAUUAGAUAGUUGGUGGGGUAAUGGCCUACCAAGUCUACGAUCUUUAGCUGGGUUUUAGAGGAUGAUCAGCAACACUGGGACUGAGACACGGCCCAGACUCCUACGGGAGGCAGCAGUGGGGAAUCUUGGACAAUGGGCGCAAGCCUGAUCCAGCCAUGCCGCGUGAGUGAUGAAGGCCUUAGGGUCGUAAAGCUCUUUCGCCAGAGAUGAUAAUGACAGUAUCUGGUAAAGAAGUCCCGGCUAACUCCGUG
rnacentral:rRNA from 1 species